rnacentral:rRNA from 1 species
UACGGGGGGAGCAAGCGUUGUUCGGAUUUACUGGGCGGAAAGGGCGCGUAGGCGGUCAGCACAAGUCAGUUGUGAAAUCUCCGAGCUUAACUCGGAAAGGUCAACUGAAACUGUGCGACUAGAGUGCGGAAGGGGCAACUGGAAUUCUUGGUGUAGCGGUGAAAUGCGUAGAUAUCAAGAGGAACACCUGCGGCGAAGGCGGGUUGCUGGGCCGACACUGACGCUGAAGCGCGAAAGCCAGGGGAGCGAACGGG